GCCCAUCCAAGGUGAACGUCUUGGCCAUUGUGUAAGGAGUGAUAGCAGGUAUUGUGUUCUUUGGAAUUCUUCUUCUUCUUAUCUGGAAGCUGUUUACUACGAUCAGUGACAAGCGAGAGCUGGCCAGGUUUGAAAAGGAGGCGCAGAAUGCCAAGUGGGAUACGGGGGAGAAUCCAAUUUAUAAGCAAGCUACAUCCACGUUUGUCAACCCCACCUACAGGCAAUGAAAAGUCAACAUGAAGAUGGUCAUUCAAGACUUGGGGAUAAAAAAUAUUGUAGACAGGUGUACAACAUGCAAUGAAAAAUGAUUUUCAAGAAAUGGUUUGGGUCAUUUGAUAUAGAUUUAGAUUCAACCUGGUAAAAGUUUUAAUCACUUACUAAUUUCAAAAUGCUCAGAAAUGAAAAAGAAGCAUGUUGAAAUAUUUUACUAACUAUAUUGCAUGAACAAAUUCUUUCUCAUCAUUUAUGAUCAAAAUUUAGAAUUGGGGUGCAUGGUUAAGACUGCAUGUUUACAUUCCUGUUACAAAUGUCUUGAUUUCCAUCAGAUUGAGACAAGCAUACAGGGGUUUCAGAUGUGAUGUAGUUGCAUGAGUUAACUCCCUUGUCAUAGCUUGCAGCAAGGGUGUCCUAUUCUCUCAGCUGCAUGAUUUAUGUCGAGGGCUUUCUUGUGACAUCAGAGAAGUGUAUGAUGGCAUUUUCUCCCAAUUCGUGCCAUUAGUUGAGUGUAACAAGUAGAAAUGUUUUCCCAAUAUAUAUUCCACUGCCAUAGUAUUGGUUUCUAAAAUGUUAAACUCUUAAUGGUUUCCCAUCCUUCAGUUUGAUUGAAGUUUAGUCAAUUACUAAUUAUAAUUUAAUCUGGAGUAAAUGUC